AUUUUCAAAUAUGUCAUAAACAUUUUCCAAAUAUGUGAUCAACAUUUUUUUAAUAUGCAAAGGAUAUUUUUUUUAAUACUCGAUGAACAUAUUUUAUUUGUUCUUAUUACACUAAAACAUAUUUAUGCAUAACACAAUUUCACAAAUGUGAUGAACACCUGCUGAAUAUGUGAGUUAUUUUGAAAUAUUUGAUGACCAUAUUUAAAAUAUGAGGUGAACAUAUUUUUAAUAUCGAACAAACAUCUUAGACGCACGAAUAUUUAUAUUUUUUUCAUUUUUUGCAAUAUAAUUUUUCCAUUCGAGUAUUUAUGUUUUCAAAAUAUGUACAAUAAAAAAUUCCAAAAAAAUGAAAAUCCAGUUGAAAGCCAGACAUUGGCCCAUACAGUUGCUUUCGUCACCACAAGGAUACCCCCUAUAAAGCAACACAAAUUGUACAACAUUUUGACUAUGUGUUGUAAAUUUUUCAGUAGAUACACAUAUUAUGGUUGUAGCAUAUGCGUUGUAGAGUUGUAGGUGGUAGUACAUAUAUAUGAAAAAAAAAUAAACAGAGGAAAGGAUAAAGAGACGCGCGAGAAACAGAGCCCCCGAUCCUCUCAUCUCUCCCAAAUCGCCGCCAUCCACGGCCUAAUCUACCUCUCCAAACCACCUCGCCGCCGGCCCUCCCCCUGCCCUCCUCCCACCUCUCAACCCUGGUGGCUGCCGGAUUCGCCGCAUCCCCGACCCACCCAUGCCUACCACGUCCCGUCUCUCUCUCACCACGUGGCUCCUCCCUGCGCCACCUGCGGCGGCUGAUUCAGGCGACGUCCGUUGAAUCAUGCCACCGCGAAGCACAAUUGAAGGUCCCCUCGCACCGCGCCGCCCUCCCAUCUGGCUAGAUCCAGUGGUCACGGCCACCAAAGCCCACCCUCGACCCUCCCCCCAUGGCUAGGGUUUCGGGCGACGGCUCGGGAGCCUGUGUCCAUGUCGUCCUCCUUUCGUCCGGGAGGAACAGCCAGCGGACGGACUUGCUGCUGGUCGGGACAAGAAGCCAUGGAGCUUCUUCCUCCUCCUCCUCUGGCAUCAGUUUCAUGAUUUUGAUUUCAGAGCUGCCACUUACAGAAAACAUAAUAAGGUAAUUAAGCCACAUUCCAAAAUAUACUAGUUGUAUAAAUCCUGAGUAAUGGUGUGUGUGUGGUUCUGAACCAGUCCUUAAUUUUGUUCUGAAAUUGGCGUUUUUCCACCCUUUCAUGUUCUGAAACAAUAAAGAUUCACCCACAAGGCUUUUUGAAUUAUGUUAGCUGUAUGUCUUAAGCAAAUUGUACAGACUCCAAUUGAAGUGUUGUGAUUAGUCAUGGUCAGUGCAUAUAUAUACUGUGUUGUCUGAAAUGUCUGUAGCUUCAGAGGAACUGUAAGCAUGUCUCUCCAUCGUUUGCUAACAUUUUCAUAUUUAGGUUCUUCUGGCUGUCUAUAUAUACUGUAUAAGUAGUGAUUUUGUCCGGACUAAUUUAUUUUUACCCAAAGAUGAAUUCCCAUGUUAACUAGCAUGAUGUGUUGAAUAACUUAAUUGGCCCCUUGACCACAACUGGUGUCUAACUAAUAUUUAAAUUAAGUUUACGAGCACAAACGGGAACACUAUUUCUACUCUAUUAUACUUUACUCAUGCUUGGACCAAGAUCUCAUGAGGAAGCGGGAGAAGGGACACCAACAAUUGGUGCAGGUUCGUGUUGCUCCAACAGAUUUUGCACUGCAUGCCGUAAAAAAAUAUGUAUCUUUAUCCCAUUGGAUAUGUUCAACAUUGGAAGCAAUCAGAGAAAAUGUUAAUACUUAUGCAACGAUUUCUGCCAUACACUAAGACGCCCAUAUUAGGCUCAUAUAGUUUAAGUCUGUACCUGAACCACUCAAAGAAAUGAUAACAAAACUAAUACUAAUAGGUCAAUAAUCACCUUGAGAUAAUUUAUGAAUGUAUUUCCAUCUACUAUGUAUGCCAGUAAUUUGUUAUGUAUAACAAAGAUUGCAUGGAAUUGAACUGUUGGUGACGGUGAGGUCGUCUUACUGGAAGUGACGGUCAGGUUGUCUAACUGGAAGUGAAACUGUUGGUGCUGUUCUGCAUUCUGAUAAUGUUGAUUGGCAGGGUGAGGGAUCAGAAGAGGGAUGGCGGGGGCGUUUGAGUUGUAUUGGCAGUUUGCCAUUGGCAAGGCCCUCAUGUAGACGCUGGACGAGAUGGCGCUUAGCCCCGAGCUCGCUGUCAGUCUCCAAGUACAGUUCGACGAGGUCUGUUCAUUAUUUUCAUCUUGGUCUUCUUGUUUCUUUCAGUCCAUGAGCGCUGGACCACUAGCUCAAGAGCAAGGCCUGCUUCAAGGUACCAAACAGGUUGCCACCUCUCUUUCUUGUGCCACAUAUUCAUCACUACACUGUACAGAUUCCAAGGGAACAAUGAUGAAAUAACGUGAUGUUGUUACAUGUUGGUGUAACUGUACUGAUGCAGAUCAGCUACAGAUCUUUCAUAUCUUCUGUUGGAUGCCAUGAUGACUUCUGUGCUUAAUUAUGAAGUAAGUUACUCGACAGCCCAUUUGUUUUCCAAGUCGCUUCAGGGAAUUGUUCUUUUGGGAUCAUAUUUCUUUGCAAAAAGUAACCUCAACUUGCUUAAUGGCCACAUACGGCAGUUGCUUCAACUUCUGGACAAGACACACAGACAUGCAACUGUGUGACAACUAAAAGUCUUUUGGGGAAUUUUGAUAACAAAAGUAGAGCAUUACUACUCAAAAGGAUGACUAAUUAAUUAACCCAUCCAAUCCAAGCAUCAGAAAAGUAGAGCAUUACUGUUCAAAGGGAUGACUAAUUAAUUAACCUCUUAAUUUAUUUUUACAGGAAUUAACCAGAUAGUAUCUGCUUGAAUAAGUUUGAAGUAGCUACUAUUUAUAAAAUGUAGUGGCAUGUAGAAAUUGAGGAAGCGAAGCUGUGGUAGGUUAUGCGCCAUGCUUAUUAGGAUAAGGGUGUGAGAUACUAUUUUCCUCUUGCUAGUAUAGUUUAAGUCUGUAACCUGAACCCCUCAAAAAGCGGUAAAAAAACUAAUACUAACCGAUCAAUGAUGAUCUUGAGAUAGGUUAUGGAUGUAUUUCCAUCUACUAUGUAUAACAUAAAUUGCAUGGCCUUCAACCUUUAUUCAAUCAAAAGAUAUAUGGAUGAUUCUAUGGUUUGUGGCAAGUAUACUGCAAUGAUGAUGAUGAUGUUCCCGUUGAUGAUGAUGGAUGCCUUCAGUUUUAGUUAAAGUUAGUUUUAGUUAAAGUUGUAGUGAUGUCGUUCCUGUUGGAUGAUGUUCCUCGGUUAAGUUUUAGUUAAUUCUAGUUGAUGGAUUAUUGUCGGUUUAAGUUUCACUCUCAAGAAAAUAUUUAGAUUAUGGAUCACAUUGGGAUGAUGUUCCUCCUGUAAUAUUCACUAUUGUAAUCCAACAGUUUUAUUCAAUAUAUGAGAUCUUCCUCUUGUGAGUA